rnacentral:ncRNA from 2 species
UUCCCUUUGUCAUCCUAUGCC